rnacentral:rRNA from 1 species
UACGGAGGGUGCAAGCGUUAUCCGGAUUUACUGGGUUUAAAGGGUGUGUAGGCGGGCUUUUAAGUCAGUGGUGAAAUCUCCGGGGCUCAACCCGGAAACUGCCAUUGAUACUAUUAGUCUUGAAUUUUGUUGAGGUAGGCGGAAUAAGUCAUGUAGCGGUGAAAUGCAUAGAUAUGACUUAGAACACCAAUUGCGAAGGCAGCUUGCUAAACAAUAUUGACGCUGAGGCACGAAAGCGUGGGGAUCAAACAGG